rnacentral:rRNA from 1 species
ACUCAAAGGAAUUGACGGGGGCCCGCACAAGCGGUGGAGCAUGUGGAUUAAUUCGAAGCAACGCGAAGAACCUUACCAAGGCUUGACAUGGAAGUGACCACUUCAGAGAUGAUGAAUCUCCUUCGGGAGCACUUCACACAGGUGGUGCAUGGUUGUCGUCAGCUCGUGUCGUGAGAUGUUGGGUUAAGUCCCGCAACGAGCGCAACCCCUACGUUCAGUUGCCAGCAGGUGAAGCUGGGCACACUGGAGGGACUGCCGUGGAUAACACGGAGGAAGGUGGGGAUGAUGUCAAAUCAUCAUGCCCCUUAUGUCUUGGGCUUCACACGUGCUACAAUGGCUCAUACAGACUGAAGCAAGCGCGCGAGCGCAAGCGGACCAGAAAAAAGAGCCCCAGUUCGGAUUGUAGGCUGCAACUCGCCUGCAUGAAGUUGGAAUCGCUAGUAAUCGCGAAUCAUCAUGUCGCGGUGAAUACGUUCCCGGGCCUUGUACACACCGCCCGU